rnacentral:rRNA from 1 species
UACGGAGACUGCGAGCGUUACUCGGAUUCACUGGGCGUAAAGGGUGCGUAGGCGGCUUGGUGUGUCAGGUGUGAAAUCUCGGGGCUCAACCCCGAAACUGCGCUUGAAACUACCAGGCUUGAGUAUCGGAGAGGUGAGUGGAAUUCCUGGUGUAGCGGUGAAAUGCGUUGAUAUCAGGAGGAACACCAAAGGCGAAGGCAGCUCACUGGACGAUUACUGACGCUGAGGCACGAAAGCGUGGGGAGCGAAAGGG